UAAAUCUAUGGUGCGGUGCAAUAAAUGC
rnacentral:sRNA from 1 species